rnacentral:rRNA from 1 species
GAUGAACGCUGGCGGCGUGCCUAGUACAUGCAAGUCGAGCGAACGGACGAGAAGCUUGCUUCUCUGAUGUUAGCGGCGGACGGGUGAGUAACACGUGGAUAACCUACCUAUAAGACUGGGAUAACUUCGGGAAACCGGAGCUAAUACCGGAUAAUAUUUUGAACCGCAUGCUUCAAAAGUGAAAGACGGUCUUGCUGUCACUUAUAGAUGGAUCCGCGCUGCAUUAGCUAGUUGGUAAGGUAACGGCUUACCAAGGCAACGAUGCAUAGCCGACCUGAGAGGGUGAUCGGCCACACUGGAACUGAGACACGGUCCAGACUCCUACGGGAGGCAGCAGUAGGGAAUCUUCCGCAAUGGGCGAAAGCCUGACGGAGCAACGCCGCGUGAGUGAUGAAGGUCUUCGGAUCGUAAAACUCUGUUAUUAGGGAAGAACAUAUGUGUAAGUAACUGUGCACAUCUUGACGGUACCUAAUCAGAAAGCCACGGCUAACUACGUG